UACGAAGGGGGCUAGCGUUGCUCGGAAUACUGGGGUCGUAAAGCGUGCGCAGGCGGUUUUGUAAGUCAGAUGUGAAAUCCCCGGGCUCAACCUGGGAAAUAGCGCUUGAGACUGAGGGACUUGAGUUCGGGAGAGGAGAGCGGGAAUUCCCAGUGUAGAGGUGAAAUUCGAUAGAUAUUGGGAAGAACACCGGUGGCGAAGGCGGCUCUCUGGACCGACACUGACGCUGAGGCGCGAAAGCGUGGGGAGCAAACAGGGAUUAAGAAACCCGG
rnacentral:rRNA from 1 species